rnacentral:rRNA from 1 species
UACGAAGGGGGGCUAGCGUUGUUCGGAUUUACUGGGCGUAAAGCGCACGUAGGCGGAUCGAUCAGUCAGGGGUGAAAUCCCAGGGCUCAACCCUGGAACUGCCUUUGAUACUGUCGAUCUGGAGUAUGGAAGAGGUGAGUGGAAUUCCGAGUGUAGAGGUGAAAUUCGUAGAUAUUCGGAGGAACACCAGUGGCGAAGGCGGCUCACUGGUCCAUUACUGACGCUGAGGUGCGAAAGCGUGGGGAGCAAACAGG